UUGCCUGUAGCUCAGUGGACAGAGCAGCAUCCUUCUAAGAUGUCGGUCGCUGGUUCGAGUCCAGCCAGGUGAGCCA
rnacentral:tRNA from 3 species